CCGUUUCUGAGUUGGGGCCAGCUCCCCACCCCCAAGGGGCCCCACAUUCCGGGCCAGCAGCCCAGAAAGUCCCUCCCUGCAGGCGGAGACAGCCCCAAGAAGUCGACGCCCCGGUCCCGCCGCUCGGCCACUACCCAGAGGGCUGCCGCCGCCUCUCCAAGUUCUUGUGGCCCCCGCGGUGCGGAGUAUGGGGCGCUGAUGGCCAUGGAGGGCUACUGGCGCUUCCUGGCGCUGCUGGGGUCGGCACUGCUCGUCGGCUUCCUGUCGGUGAUCUUCACCCUCGUCUGGGUCCUCCACUACCGAGAAGGGCUUGGCUGGGACGGGAGCGCACUAGAGUUUAACUGGCACCCGGUGCUCAUGGUCACCGGCUUCGUCUUCAUCCAGGGCAUCGCCAUCAUCGUCUACAGACUGCCAUGGACCUGGAAAUGCAGCAAGCUCCUGAUGAAAUCCAUCCAUGCAGGGUUGAAUGCAGUUGCUGCCAUUCUUGCAGUUAUCUCUGUGGUGGCCGUGUUUGAGAACCACAAUGUUAACAAUAUAGCCAAUAUGUACAGUCUGCACAGCUGGGUUGGACUGAUAGCUGUCAUAUGCUAUUUGUUACAGACAGGGUCUCACUUUGUCACCCAGGCUGGAGUGCAAUGGCACAAUCUUAGCUCACUGCAACCUCCAUCUCCAGGACUCAAGCAAUCCUCCUGCCUCAGCCUCCAGAGUAGCUGGGACCACAGGCGUGCACCACCACGCCCAGCUAAUUUUUUGUAGAGAUGGG
rnacentral:sRNA from 1 species